UAUCGUAAUUGAAGAGGUUUGGAAAGACCCACCACAGAAGGUAAUAGUCCUGUAUGUUAAACGAGAAGACUUUAGAUAUGAUCCAGAGUACCACGGGACACGUGAAACCCUGUGGGAAGCAGGAGGGACCACCCUCCAAGGCUAAAUACUACCUAGUGACCGAUAGCGUAUAGUACCGUGAGGGAAAGGUGAAAAGAACCCCGGGAGGGGAGUGAAAUAGAACCUGAAACCCUGCACUUACAAGCUGUGGAAGCACAUUUCUUGUGUGACCGCGUACUUUUUGUAGAACGGGCCAACGAGUUACGUUAAGUAG
rnacentral:rRNA from 1 species